CAGCCGCCACGGUAAUACGAAGGGUGCAAGCGUUACUCGGAAUUACUGGGCGUAAAGCGUGCGUAGGUGGUGGUUUAAGUCCGUUGUGAAAGCCCUGGGCUCAACCUGGGAAUUGCAGUGGAUACUGGGUCACUAGAGUGUGGUAGAGGAUAGUGGAAUUUCCGGUGUAGCAGUGAAAUGCGUAGAGAUCGGAAGGAACAUCUGUGGCGAAGGCGACUAUCUGGGCCAACACUGACACUGAGGCACGAAAGCGUGGGGAGCAAACAGGAUUAGAUACCCGCGUAGUCCCUGUCUCUUAUAA
rnacentral:rRNA from 1 species